AGAAUCACUCAAUUCCCAGACUCUUUUAUGACAGUAUUUAGAAUCAGAGAGGAAAUUAAAUAAAGAGGUGCCUGUGUAGCUGGGCCUAUGACCAUUGGAGGGAAGUUUCUUACACGUAGUCUCACCAUGUAAUGAAUAGGAGAGAAAGGCAGGACCAAGCUAGAGCUCAGAAAAUGCUUGUCUUGAAGCUUCUACCUUUAAGAGUAUCUAGGUCUGGGGUAAUCAGUUUUCUGUUGUCACUAUGACUUCCAAUUAGAUAGAUAGAUAGAUAGAUAGAUAGAUAGAUAGAUAGAUAGAUAGAUUAAUUGCUUUUCCUUUAACUAGGCUACAGAAGUAUUGAUUCCUAUGGGCAUAGAGACCAUCCCAGUCCAGAUGAGAUCCCACCAUGAAAAGACCAAAGUGACAGGAAAUCUUCUGAAUCAGAAAAAGCCUGGAACUCGGUUUGAGCUGGGAUCUCACAAUUCUGAAGAGGCUUAAUCUGGCCCAGACACAUCCCCUCUACCACCUCCUCAAGGAUUCUCAAAAGUAAAUUCUCCAACUGUUUAUGCUUCACCACCACUGGAUCUAGCUGAAGUCACCCCAAGGAACAGAGUGCACUGUUUACACAGGGACACAGGUAACCUAGACUUGGGUCUAAGAUGAG
rnacentral:lncRNA from 1 species